rnacentral:lncRNA from 1 species
GUUCAACGUAUAUUGUAAUUCCUUAUAGAAAUAUAUCAUAAUGACAUAUAAAUAGAACAAUAUCAUACUGACGGGAUCUUUUAAAGUACAGAGUCACGUUAUAAGAACAAAAGAAAUACAAAAGUCGCAAAUACAAAACAAACCACAAAAAAAUGAAAGCCGAUACAAACACAUUGACGAGAUGUAUAAGUACCGAGCCACGUGAAACGGAAAUCACAUGAAACCAUUCAACAGUAAAAGUAAUAUUAAUAAUAGAACAAAGACAAAUGAAAGAACUAUAAAACACGUCCCUGCAGGCACACUUUGUUGAAUCAACGUUGAAUCUUUGUUGAUUUUAGGUUAUACAUUGAUCAACAAAUAUUCAACAUUGAUUCAACGUUGACAAUGCAACGUUGAAAUUAGUGCAUUGUUUCAACGUUGAAUUAACAUUGUGUUGAAAUACCAACAAUGAAUCAACGUUGGCUAAACAAUAUAUAAAACCCAGUAGUUGUGGAUACCAGAAUUGUAUAAAAAGAAGUAUUGGACACAUCACAAUUAUUUUUAAAUUGAC